rnacentral:rRNA from 1 species
UACGAAGGGGGCUAGCGUUGUUCGGAAUUACUGGGCGUAAAGCGCGCGCAGGCGGUCUUCCAAGUCAGUGGUGAAAGCCCGGAGCUCAACUCCGGAACUGCCAUUGAAACUGUGAGACUUGAGGAUGAGAGAGGUGAGUGGAAUUCCCAGUGUAGAGGUGAAAUUCGUAGAUAUUGGGAAGAACACCGGUGGCGAAGGCGGCUCACUGGCUCAUUACUGACGCUCAGGCGCGACAGCGUGGGGAUCAAACAGG